CUUUUCUCAUCCAAUAUGUUCUUCUUUAGUUAUCUUGAGUUUCGAAGGUGUUCAGGGCUGAUAUGUGACAUUUCAGUCCCUCGCAAUGAGUCGCAAAGGCUGACUACGUUGCCCUAUUUGCUGCUGCUUUUUUCAAGUUUGGGAAAUACAUGUGACAAUAUUGCCCGAAAUCUGAAUGAACACGAAUCAAGGCAGAGAGAAUAUUAAACUACUUAUUAUUUUUAUUCAGAUAAGAAUUGUAGAGAAGCCUGCCUUUGUCAGCUCCAUUUGACAAUUUUUCUUUGUUGAUUGGAACAAAAAAUGUUAGUCUUGGUAGAAUGGGCUUCAAUAUGUGUUUUUAAGCAGAUUCAGUUAAUAUGUAGAAUCUACAACAUUUGGCUUAGGCUGGAAGGAAAUUUAGUGUUUAGAUUAGUCUUCAAGUAGAAGUAUGGUAUUCUGAUUUAUGGUGUGGAAGACCUUAGAAGUAGAUAAAUUUGUUGAAUAGAUCUAAGACAAAAUUCAGGAGUACAAAAUUUGACGGUAAGAACUUUCAGACAGAGACACGUAACUUCUGUGAUUGUUGGAGGAAUUUGGAGUAUAUUGUGUGCAGUUUAUUUUGUUCUGUGGUUGCCUGUCUUCCCAUUAAUAGGUCUUCACAUUAAGGUUUUUUGCCAUCUUUACACUUGGGACAGAGAGCCCACCGCAGGAGUUUGAAAUCUAGUGCCUCUACUCUUCCUGGUCAAAGGUUUGGAUGAUCUGGCUUCACAAGGUAAAUUUUGUAUCAUGCUUUCUCGUGUUUUUUGGUACUAGAUACUUUUCUGACUUGAACUGAAGUGUGAUCAGGUUUUGUUUAAUCUGUGUUUUGUUAGCUUGCUAUUUUUUAUUUUAAAAAUUUUAUUGUAGCAAAACUCAAAAUGAAAAAUGAGCAACUCUAGCAAGCUGACCAAAUAGAGCCAUAUUAAAUGAAAUAUUGCAACUUGGUAAUGUGUAUAUAAAAUGUCAUGUAUCAAAUAGUUAUGACACAAAGGCACCAAAUUUCCUGUUCUGGACCCUCUGGUUAGGUUUUACUGAAUGUGCCACUGCACUGGCCUUCAUGAUGGGUUGAAUUUAUGUUGCUGUUAUUUUUUGUUUCUUAUUUGUACAGGUUAAUUUUUUUAUGAUUCAGUCUAUUAAUUUUAAUUGGCCAUUUCCUUGUAUUCAAGAAGUUGUAUUUUAUUAAAUAACUCAAAUGUGAAUUAAUCAUUACAUAUAGUUCGCUUCAUCUCAGAUGCUAAUUACUGUACAAGUGGAAACCUCAAAAGAGAGAGAACUUUAUUUGUUGCUGGUCUUGCCUUUCCAUGAAUCCCACAUUAAUUUCAGUUCUGAAAAUUUAUUCAGUUGUCUGCAGCUGAGGUUAUUUAUUGAUUUGAUCAGUUUCAUUGUAUGGUAAGCAUCACAUUUAAGGCAUCUGCAUUCUUCUUAUGGAGACAGUAUUCUUAUAUAUUAACUCGAAUGGUGAAUUUGCAUGAUAAGUAUUAUGUUCAUAAAUACUAGUUGUGUUGUGGCCACACCUGCUGAUUGGGUGAAAAAGUGUUUUGAGAGCUAACAUGCAUGCAGUCUGAACAUUGGGAUCAUUAGCAGGAUAGGUUCCAGACACUUCUGUUUUAAUGUACUUCUUUUGCAUGGUGAGCUGGAACCAG
rnacentral:misc_RNA from 1 species